rnacentral:tRNA from 1 species
UCCCUCGUGGUCCAGUGGUUAGGACUCACUGCUGUCACUGCUGUGGGCCAGGUUCAACCCCUGGUCUGGGAA